rnacentral:rRNA from 1 species
AUGGCCUGGUCAACACGGAGGACGGGGCGCACCGUAGUCAACAUUGCCGCUCCUUGCCCGCUAGCCAGGUGGCACCGGCGAGCACAUGGACUCACCUCCCAUUUGCCUUCUGCUCCGAUGGCCGACGGCCGGGAGGAGAGCUCUAGUGCCUUGAUCUUUCGCCAAAGAAAGACCCUCCAUGCAUGCAAUAGCUUCAAGCGUCCGCGAAUCCAUGAAGCCAUGAAUGACCAGCAUAGAAGAGCCCAACCCACUCCUGAACCGACAAAGAGGGUCCUUGGCCAGGCCCACCUUACCAAGAGACAAGUGGUGAGAGGCCCCCUAGCCGAGGCACCAUCAUCUUGGCUACCAGAUGUCGGCCCAACAUGUAGCACAAGGGCCCUGGCGGUAGCGCAAAGGAUGCGACGACGGCGGUGGCAACGCGGUGGGUAUUGGCGGCAUCGCGGCAACCAGACAAAGACCGACGAAGGCACACUGAUCGUGGCAUUUAUUGGAACUCUAUAUUGCGAGAGGCCAGAUUUGUCAAUUGUGGGGUUUCGUUGGAUGCUCUUGGGUCUUACUGAUUCAUCCCCAAAUCAGCCGCCGGCGCCGGCGCCUCAAUCUCCCGACCUCACUUUCUUCUCCACCCGCCGCCCCAAAUACAUCCUCCCCUCCUCCCCUCCCGCGCGCCGCCACCUCUCGGCACCACUGAGGGCACCCGCAGCUCGGCCACCCUUCUUCCCCCCUCUUCCUCCAUUACUCAUCUUCUUCUGUUUGCUCACCUCCUCAAUCCUUCAAUAUAUCCACUGCUCGUCUACUCACCUGCAGAUCUGGGGAGUGCCAUCCUCAGGAGAGGAGCUCGAGCGCGCAGCAAUGGCCGCCUCUGUUCCCCCGCCUGCAAAGAGAAGGAAGGAGGAUCCAACGCCCUCUCCGCUCCUUCCGGCCGCAGGAUGGUCCGCCCUCCCGCCGGACCUCGUCCGCCGCGUCGCCGACUCCCUACUGGCCACCAAAUACCUUGACUGCUACAUGGACUACCGCGCCCAUGGCGGCGGCACGGUGAGCAACGAGUGGGGCGUGGCUGGGGCGUGCGGGCGGCAUGGCGGGGGCGUGGCGGGGCUGUGGCGAGUGCGUGGCGACCCAGGCAUGGCGGGGGCGCAAGAAACUGUCGCCGUUCAUGUCCGCCGCCGCGGGGGCCGUCGUCCGCGCGGCCACUCGACUCGCUGGCCCUGGAAACUAUGUCCACUGGACGCACCCCACUCGGAUCUGUCGUAUGCACCAACGAAAACGACAUGGGAGGACCUGCAUCGCCACAUCGGGCAUCAUCUUUUUCAUCUCCGUCCACCGGCCGUCGUGCCAAAUUCGUCGCCGAUGAGCUCGCUCUGCGCCCUCCCCGUGUCGCCAUGCUCCGGCGCGUGCUCUGUGGUGAACUCCGGCCGGUCCAAACGAGCCGCUCGGAGCGACGCCACCGACCCCCGCUUCCGCCCGCGCCGCUGGAUCGUCCUCGACGAGGUCUUCCCGAGCCAAGGAAAGAUGCUCCUGUUGAAUACCGACUCCGGCCGCUUUCUCCACAGAGAACUCCCGCUGCUCAACGACCACCAUAUCGUGGCAACCACUCGCAAUGGCUACCUGGUCCUGGCAGACAAAAGCCCUCCUCACGCGGCCAGCGUCCUCAACCCUCUCACCGGCGUUGUCAUCCGUUUCGUGGCGCCGGUGCCCAGCGAGGUGGGAUCCGCCGCUGUCGUCUUUUUUGACCAUGCUUCGCUCGCCCUCACCUUGUUCUGCGAUUCAUCUCACAAUAUUUACACGGCCUGCCGCGACAAAAUUGGUUUUUUCGUCCAGGAGGUUCCGGGACCGGAAGCAUAUUACGAUAUACUCCGUAAGGCGCUACUGCUGGAUGGUGUUUACGCAGACAUGUUUGAUGAAUCGACAUUUGAGGGCGUGGUUGAUGAUUUAUGCAGUUUGCUUCAUGAGGUUGUCAUGUUUUUCUCUGGUGGUCUUCCAGAUGUAAACGACCUCAAAUGGUUUCCAUUACUGUGUUUGGAUAGCCAUAUGUUGCUUGUCGUGAGUACAAAGGGAUCAACCUUUGUUUUUAAAAAGGACAUCAAGAUAGGUAAGCUCGUGGCUUUGGACAACAUCAACAACUAUGCCAUCUUCAUUGGACAUCAGAGGUGCCUGGCCAUUGAUGUCGAUAAGUUCCCAGGCAUUGAGGCAAACUGCGUCUACUACACCAAAAUUCUGGGUUUGUCUGCUCACAUCUGCAAGUGCAACAUCAAGGACAGGAAAGUAGAGAGGAUAUCUGAAGCUGCAGAGUUUGUGAAGCAGGGCAAACAGUUUGUCCUUGUUGUCGACCGCCCUUUCACGAUCAUCCACCUUCUCUCCAGCUACACCAUCAACAUCCCGGAGUCUCAACUCGCCUUGCAACAGAUUCCAUAA